UUUUUAAGCCCGCCGGAAAAGCGCAGUAUUCGGGUGGGAGUGACCCGAUUUUCCAGGUGCCGUCCGUCACCCCUUUCUUUGACUCGGAAAGGGAACUCCCUGACCCCUUGCGCUUUCUGAGUGAGGCAGUGCCUCGCCCUGCUUCGGCUCGCACACGGUGCGCGCACCCACUGACCUGCGCCCACUGUCUGGCACUCCCUAGUGAGAUGAACCCGGUACCUCAGAUGGAAAUGCAGAAAUCACCCGUCUUCUGCGUCGCUCACGGUGGGAGCUGUAGACUGGAGCUGUUCCUAUUCGGCCAUCUUGGCUCCUCCGCAUUUGUUUUUAUGGUGGUUUUGUAUUGUUUUUAUAGAGCUGCCCUCACAUGCUUCAGCAACAUUAGAUGUUCUGGAGACUGGAAAGUCCAAGAUCAUGGUGCCUGAGGAUUCAGUGUCUGGCUGGAGUGCCAUGCCACAGUCACAGCUCACUGCAGUCUCUACCUUUUGGGCUCAAGCCAACUUCCAGCCUCAGCCUCCCAAGUAGCUGGGACCUCAGGUGCACACCACCAAA
rnacentral:lncRNA from 1 species